rnacentral:rRNA from 1 species
AGGAUGAACGCUGGCGGCGUGCCUAACACAUGCAAGUCGAACGGACCCUUCGGGGUUAGUGGCGCACGGGUGAGGAACACGUAGCUUACCUGCCCUCUACACUGAGAUAACCCUGCGAAAGCAGGGCUAAUAUCGGAUAAGCUCACGAGGAAUAGUAGCCUUGUGAGAAAAGCGUCCGGCGGUAGAGGAGGGGGCUGGCGGCCCAGUCAGCGUAGUUGGUAGAGGUAACGGCUCACCGAAGGCGACGGACGGGUAGGGACCUGGAGAGGGUCCGACCCCCCAGACGUGGGACUGACGACGACCGGCCCUAGACCUCCGUACGGGAGGCAGCGAGUAGACGGUAAUAGUU